rnacentral:rRNA from 1 species
AUAUCAAUAAGCGGAGGAAAAGAAACCAACCGGGAUUGCCUCAGUAACGGCGAGUGAAGCGGCAAGAGCUCAAAUUUGAAAGCUGGCUCCUCCGGGGUCCGCAUUGUAAUUUGGAGAGGAUGCUUCGGGUGCGGCCCCCGUCUAAGUGCUCUGGAACGGGCCGUCGGAGAGGGUGAGAAUCCCGUCUGGGGCGGGGAGCCCCGUGCCCGUGUGAAGCUCCUUCAACGAGUCGAGUUGUUUGGGAAUGCAGCUCUAAAUGGGUGGUAAAUUUCAUCUAAAGCUAAAUACAGGCCGGAGACCGAUAGCGCACAAGUAGAGUGAUCGAAAGAUGAAAAGCACUUUGAAAAGAGAGUUAAACAGCACGUGAAAUUGUUGAAAGGGAAGCGCUUGCAAUCAGACUCGCCCGCGGGGUUCAGCCGGCAUUCGUGCCGGUGUACUUCCCCGUGGGCGGGCCAGCGUCGGUUCGGACGGCCGGUCAAAGGCCCCCGGAAUGUAGCGCCCCCCGGGGCGUCUUAUAGCCGGGGGUGCCAUGCGGCCAGUCUGGACCGAGGAACGCGCUUCGGCACGGACGCUGGCGUAAUGGUUGCAAGCGACCCGUCUUGAAACACGGACCAAGGAGUCUAACAUCUACGCGAGUGUUUGGGUGGCAAACCCAUGCGCGCAGUGAAAGCGAACGGAGGUGGGAACCCCCCCGGGGGGUGCACCAUCGACCGAUCCUGAUGUCUUCGGAUGGAUUUGAGUAUGAGCGUAGCUGUGGGGACCCGAAAGAUGGUGAACUAUGCCUGAAUAGGGCGAAGCCAGGGGAAACUCUGGUGGAGGCUCGCAGCGGUUCUGACGUGCAAAUCGAUCGUCAAAUUUGGGUAUAGGGGCGAAAGACUAAUCGAACCAUCUGGUAGCUGGUUCCUGCCGAAGUUUCCCUCAGGAUAGCAGUAACGCAAAUUCAGUUUUAUGAGGUAAAGCGAAUGAUUAGAGGCCUUGGGGUUGAAACAACCUUAACCUAUUCUCAAACUUUAAAUAUGUAAGAAGCCCUUGUUGCUUAGUUGAACGUGGGCAUUAGAAUGGAGCGUUACUAGUGGGCCAUUUUUGGUAAGCAGAACUGGCGAUGCGGGAUGAACCGAAAGCGAGGUUAAGGUGCCGGAAUGCACGCUCAUCAGACACCACAAAAGGUGUUAGUUCAUCUAGACAGCCCGACGGUGGCCAUGGAAGUCGGAACCCGCUAAGGAGUGUGUAACAACUCACGGGCCGAAUGAACUAGCCCUGAAAACGGAUGGCGCUCAAGCGUGCUACCUAUACCUUGCCGUCGGGGUAGAAAUGACGCCCCGACGAGUAGGCAGGCGUGGGGGUCCGUGACGAAGC